rnacentral:rRNA from 1 species
GACGAACGCUGGCGGCGUGCUUAACACAUGCAAGUCGAACGAUGCAGCAAAGAAUCGAAGCUUCUGCAGAAAUUCAUUUCGGAUUAGUGGCAGAAGGGUGAGUAACGCGUGAGCAACCUACCUCUUACAAAGGGAUAGACUCGGGAAACCGGGAGUAAUACCAUCUAACAUUUCGACGCAGCAUUUCGAUGCAAUCAAAGCUACGGCGGUAAGCGAUGGGGUCGCGUCCCAUUAACCGGAUGGUGAGGUAACGGCUCACCAUAGUGAGGAUGGGUAACCGGGGUGUGAGGGAGAACGGUCACACUGGAGCUGAGACACGGUCGAGACUCCUACGGGAGGCAGCAGUGGGGAAUAUAGCAAAAUGGAGGGAGCGCUGAUGCAGCGACGACGGGAGAGUGAUGAAGGAAGUCGUUUAGUAAAACUCUGUUCUAUGGGAAGAAAAGGACUGUACCAUAGGAGAAAGCCCCGGCUAAAUACGUG